UUCGCUCAACAAAAACAGAUCUCUGUCCAUACGCUUCGCUCAACAAAAACCAUAGGUAGGCCGUCGCUCAUCUCCACUCCGAAUCCGACUCCGUCCACCUCUUCGGCGUCGACUCCGACUUCGUGUUCCUCACCAGCGUCGACCCUCGCGGAACAAUGCCCUCACUGCACGAGCCUCUUCUCGACGCCUCCCACGCAAUCCACUUUGAAUCUGACUCUGUCCUCCUCGUCGGCGUCAACUUCGACUACGUCUUCCUUGCUAGCGUCGAUUCUGUCCUCCUCAUCGACCCCCACGGAACAACGACCUCAUCGACGUCAGGACCCUCUCUUCUCAACACCAAUAGGUUAAAUGGCAUCCCACAAAGAGGCAUUCAUGGCAAAGUGGACCGAGCCGUUAACCAAUAUGCUUGUAAGUUUGUUGGUAGAAGAGGUGAAAAAGGGAAAUCGCACCAUUUGUACUUACAACAAAGCAGGGUGGAAUAACAUACUUACCCAAUUCAAUAAACAAACAACACUUCAGUUUAGUUUAGUUCAGUUGAAGAACAGGGUAAACAAACUGAAGAGACAGUAUGGUAGUUUUAAGAAGAUGCUUUCACAAUCUGGAUUUGGAUGGGAUAAUGUUAACAAAACGGUUGCUGUGGAGGAUCCAAGUGUAUGGGAGUCUCACGUCAAGGUAUCACUUUAGUUGGGUCAUUCUAUUCUUAUUGUGGAUGUAAUCUUCAAUUAUGUUGCUGACGUAUGUCAGUGUUGACAAAAUUACAGGAUAACAACGAAUGGGCUAAAUUUCGAAAAGAUGGGUUUCCUCAGUAUCCCGAUUUGUGUAUUGUGUUCGGUGAUACAUAUGCUACAGGGGAGUAUGCA